rnacentral:rRNA from 1 species
CAAUAGCGUAUAUUAAAGUUGUUGCAGUUAAAAAGCUCGUAGUUGAAUUUCUGUCAGGAGUGACCGGGCCUUUGGAUGAACUUCCAUUGUUUUUUGCUCUGUUUGUCAUCUCUAGACAUCCUGAAAUAUUUUUUAAAAAUAUUUCUCUUUUACUGUUAGCAAAAUAGAGUGUUCCAAGCAAAGCGUAGUUUUGAAUACAUUAGAAUGGAAUAAUAAGAUAGGACUUUGGUGCUAUUUUGUUGGUUUGCACACCAAGGUAGUGAUUAAUAGGGACAGUUGGGGGUAUUCGUAUUUAAUUGUCAGAGGUGAAAUUCUUGGAUUUAUGAAAGACGAACUACUGCGAAAGCAUUUACCAAGGAUGUUUUCAUUAA